rnacentral:rRNA from 1 species
AACGAACGCUGGCGGCAUGCCUAACACAUGCAAGUCGAACGAAGGCUUCGGCCUUAGUGGCGCACGGGUGAGUAACGCGUGGGAAACUGCCUAUUGGUGGGGAAUAACGACGGGAAACUGUCGCUAAUACCGCAUAAGCCCUUCGGGGGAAAGAUUUAUCGCCGAUAGAUGUGCCCGCGUCCGAUUAGCUAGUUGGUGAGGUAAUGGCUCACCAAGGCGACGAUCGGUAGCUGGUCUGAGAGGAUGAUCAGCCACACUGGGACUGAGACACGGCCCAGACUCCUACGGGAGGCAGCAGUGGGGAAUAUUGGACAAUGGGCGAAAGCCUGAUCCAGCAAUGCCGCGUGAGUGAUGAAGGCCUUAGGGUUGUAAAGCUCUUUCGGGUGGGACGAUGAUGACGGUACCACCAGAAGAAGCCCCGGCUAACGUCGUGCCAGCAGCCGCAGUAA